rnacentral:rRNA from 1 species
UACGGAGGAGGCAAGCGUUAUCCGGAAUUAUUGGGCGUAAAGCGUCCGCAGGUGGCAGUUCAAGUCUGCUGUCAAAGACCGGGGCUUAACUUCGGAAAGGCAGUGGAAACUGAACAGCUAGAGUAUGGUAGGGGCAGAGGGAAUUCCUGGUGUAGCGGUGAAAUGCGUAGAUAUCAGGAAGAACAGCGGUGGCGAAGGCGCUCUGCUGGACCAUAACUGACACUCAGGGACGAAAGCUAGGGGAGCGAAUGGG